rnacentral:rRNA from 1 species
GACGAACGCUGGCGGCGUGCUUAACACAUGCAAGUCGAACGGAAAGGCCCUGCUUUUGUGGGGUGCUCGAGUGGCGAACGGGUGAGUAACACGUGAGUAACCUGCCCUUGACUUUGGGAUAACUUCAGGAAACUGGGGCUAAUACCGGAUAGGAGCUCCUGCUGCAUGGUGGGGGUUGGAAAGUUUCGGCGGUUGGGGAUGGAUUCGCGGCUUAUCAGCUUGUUGGUGAGGUAGUGGCUUACCAAGGCUUUGACGGGUAGGCGGCCUGAGAGGGUGACCGGCGACAGUGGUACUAAGAUACGGCCCAGACUCCUACGUGAGGCAGCAGUGGGGAAUAUUGCACAAUGGGCGGAAGCCUGAUGCAGCAACGCCGCGUGCGGGAUGACGGCCUUCGGGUUGUAAACCGCUUUCGCCUGUGACGAAGCGUGAGUGACGGUAAUGGGUAAAGAAGCACCGGCUAACUACGUG